rnacentral:rRNA from 1 species
GACGAACGCUGGCGGCGUGCUUAACACAUGCAAGUCGAACGGAAAGGCCCUGCUUUUGUGGGGUGCUCGAGUGGCGAACGGGUGAGUAACCCGUGAGUAACCUGCCCUUGACUUUGGGAUAACUUCAGGAAACUGGGGCUAAUACCGGCUAGGAGCUCCUGCUGCAUGGUGGGGGUUGGAAAGUUUCGGCGGGUGGGGAUGGACUCGCGGCUUAUCAGCUUGUUGGUGGGGGAGUGGCUUACCAAGGCUUUGACGGGUAGCCGGCCUGAGAGGGUGACCGGCCACAUUGGGACUGAGAUACGGCCCAGACCCCUACGGGAGGCAGCAGUGGGGAAUAUUGCACAAUGGGCGGAAGCCUGAUGCAGCAACGCCGCGUGCGGGAUGACGGCCUUCGGGUUGUAAACCGCUUUCGCCUGUGACGAAGCGUGAGUGACGGUAAUGGGUAAAGAAGCACCGGCUAACUACGUG